rnacentral:rRNA from 1 species
GACGAACGCUGGCGGCGUGCUUAACACAUGCAAGUCGAGCGGUAAGGCCUUUCGGGGUACACGAGCGGCGAACGGGUGAGUAACACGUGGGUGAUCUGCCCUGCACUUCGGGAUAAGCCUGGGAAACUGGGUCUAAUACCGGAUAUGACCUCCUAUCGCAUGGUGGGUGGUGGCAAGAUUUAUCGGUGCAGGAUGGGCCCGCGGCCUAUCAGCUUGUUGGUGGGGUAAUGGCCUACCAAGGCGACGACGGGUAGCCGACCUGAGAGGGUGACCGGCCACACUGGGACUGAGACACGGCCCAGACGCCUACGGGAGGCAGCAGUGGGGAAUAUUGCACAAUGGGCGAAAGCCUGAUGCAGCGACGCCGCGUGAGGAAUGACGGCCUUCGGGGUGUAAACCUCUUUCAGCAGGGACGAAGCGCAAGUGACGGUACCUGCAGAAGAAGCACCGGCUAACUACGUG